AUGCCAUGGUGAGGACACCUCCUCAUUAAUUCCUUGUAUCUUUCCCAAGCCUUAUAUAAUGAUUCAGACUCAUCCUAGAGAAACGAUGUGAUAUCAAUUCUCAUCUU